UAAUUCAGACCAACAUAUCAUCUCAAAAUUCUAGACCAACUUUGAAUUUCAUAGCAGUCUCACGCUCAACUCCCUUCUUCUUCCCUCAACUUUCCCUGCGUCUCGCAAGUCGCCGGUGGUUCUCGCCUCCUUGCCAGUCUCCGGUGGUCUCUUUCCUCGCCUCCGAUCCUCGUCUCCUCGCCGGUGGGUCUUUUUUCACCUUAAAAAUUUCAGCCCGCGCGCACGGUAGACCUGGCCCUUCUUCUUCGAUCUUCCUUCAGCUCUACCGGAAACACCGCAGACCUUGCCCCUUCUUCUUCUCCGAUCUUCCUCGCUGGCCCCCUUCUUCUUCCCUCUGUGUUUUUUCUCUCUCCUCUGCUUCUCAGAAAAUUAGGGUUUGUGAAUUGAAUUUGGGGAUUUGGGAGUUAGGGAGUUAGGGAUUUUCGUAUCGGCGGCAGAGCACCACUCCACAACAGCGGCGUAAGUGACGGCCCGACAAACUGCAGUAGUGGUCGACACAUCCGAACCUGCUUCGUGAGUUGAGGAUAACAAUCUUUGAUACCCGAAGAUUGAACUCCAUGAUUAUGAGCCUCUCGCGUUUCCUCCGCUGGAGUUUGGAUUCUACGUGGUGUCACUUGAGCAUUUGGAGCGCAUGGAAAACUGUUAUGGGUACUCUCCCAGUAUUCGUAUGUAGACGCAGUUGAUAAUAAGGGAUUCAAUGUGCUUCACCAAUGGACAGAAACAGCACAAGUUUGGCCAUUAAACUUUCUUUUAAAUGGGGAUUUUCCUGCUACAAGGACUAAAGUGUUCAGAGAUUUAAUCUACUGCAUGACAGGUAAGAAAAAGGGUGAUAGUUCAUUACAUAUUGCAGCAAGGUCUAAGAAUGGUGCUGAUAUUGUUCGAGUGCUUAUACAUGGUUACCAGCAAGAAGCAGGGGAAACGCCAGAGCCACAAUAUGAUUGCCCUCCUUGGAAAACAAAGAACAAAAAUGGGGAUACACCAUUACACACCGCUCUAUCUCUGCUUAAUUGAAAUUUAUCUCUGUGAUGGAUAUUUCCUUGAAUCAUUUGCAUCUUUAAAUUUAUACGCAGGCCCGACCCAAAUGAAAUGGAGGCCCUGUGCUAGUAUUGAAAUUACAGGAGCAGAAUGCCAUUAAUUAUCAGAAUAUUCAGAAACAUAAUGAUGAGCUUCCCAAAUAUAUAUCUGGAGUCACUAGAGAUCUGAAGGAAUGUGAACUUUCCCGUUUCAAGGUCCACCAUUUUGACAUGCCUUAAUUCGUUUACUUGUGUGUUGGAAUCUUAUGUACUUGUAUUACUAUCAUUCUGAUAUAUCCUAGUGUUAUUUAUCUUAUAAUGAGUUGACUUUAA